CUAAUCAUAUAAAGAAAAUAUCAUGCAAAAAGAACGCUGACGAAAUCCCAUCAGUGAUUUGGUACACCACCAUUCAGUUUUUCAUUUUUCAGAAGUGGGACCCACAGUAAGUCAUCCCAACCGUUAAUAAUGUGGGACCCACUACGAUUAACAAGAAAACAUAGCAACGGUUAGAAUUGAAGCAGAAAUCAAGCCAAAGAUUCCACGGCCACGAUCUGGCAAAUAUGGAGGAUUUUAGCCAAUCACAAAUUGAGGCCCACAACAUCAACGGUUUAGAUCACUGAAUAAUGUGCCCCACUUGUUCCCAACGCUCCAUUGACGACUUAAAUUCCAACAAUACCCUUGGCAUAUAAGUUACUAACCUGAAUGAAUGACUCCUCUGUUGGGGUCAUCUUCGUAAUUGUGAGGAUGUGCAGGGGUUAUUUGAGUAGCCAUGUCUAUCCGCAGUUAAGAA